rnacentral:sRNA from 1 species
GUGGGCACCAUGUCCUUGAAGAUUCAGGCAAGCAAUGUAACCAACAAGAAUGAUCCCAAGUCCAUCAACUCUCGAGUCUUCAUUGGAAACCUCAACACAGCUCUGGUGAAGAAAUCAGAUGUGGAGACCAUCUUCUCUAAACAUCAACAUGGCUGGAGAGCCUAAGCCUGACAGACCCAAGGGGCUAAAGAGAGCAGCAUCUGCCAUAUACAGGCUCUUCGACUACCGGGGCCGUCUGUCGCCCGUGCCAGUGCCCAGGGCGGUCCCUGUGAAGCGACCCCGGGUCACAGUCCCUUUGGUCCGGCGUGUCAAAACUAACGUACCUGUCAAGCUCUUUGCCCGCUCCACAGCCAUCACCACCAGCUCAGCCAAGAUCAAGUUAAAGAGCAGUGAGCUGCAGGCCAUCAAGACGGAGCUGACACAGAUCAAGUCCAAUAUCGAUGCCCUGCUGAGCCGCUUGGAGCAGAUCGCUGCAGAGCAAAAGGCCAAUCCAGAUGGCAAGAAGAAGGGUGA